CAGAGGGUGCGAGCGUUAAUCGGAAUUACUGGGCGUAAAGCGUGCGUAGACGGUUAUUUAAGUCGGGUGUGAAAGCCCCGGGCUCAACCAGGGAAUUGCAUUCGAGACUGAAUAGCUAGGGUACGGUAGAGGGAAGUGGAAUUUCCGGUGUAGCGGUGAAAUGCGUAGAUAUCGGAAGGAACAUCAGUGGCGAAAGCGACUUCCUGGACCAGUACCGACGUUCAGGCACGAAAGCGUGGGGAGCAAACAGGAUUAGAUACCCUGGUAGUCCACGCCAUAAACGAUGAGGACUAGACGUUGGAGGGGUAAGCCUUUCAGUGUCGUAGCUAACGCGCUAAGUCCUCCGCCUGGGGAGUACGGCCGCAAGGUUG
rnacentral:rRNA from 1 species